UACGGGGGGGGCAAGCGUUGUUCGGAAUUACUGGGCGUAAAGGGCUCGUAGGCGGCCAACUAAGUCAUACGUGAAAUCCCUCGGCUUAACCGGGGAACUGCGUCUGAUACUGGAUGGCUUGAGUUCGGGAGAGGGAUGCGGAAUUCCAGGUGUAGCGGUGAAAUGCGUAGAUAUCUGGAGGAACACCGGUGGCGAAGGCGGUUCUCUGGGCCUUACCUGACGCUGAGGAGCGAAAGCGUGGGGAGCGAACAGG
rnacentral:rRNA from 1 species